rnacentral:rRNA from 1 species
UGGCGAACGGGUGAGUAAUAUAUCGGAACAUACCCAGUAAUGGGGGAUAACUAUCCGAAAGGAUAGCUAAUACCGCAUACGCUAAGGGAAAGAGGUGUUAUUGGAGUGGCCGAUAUCUGAUUAGCUAGUUGGUAGGGUAAAAGCCUACCAAGGCAACGAUCAGUAGCUGGUUUGAGAGAACGACCAGCCACACUGGAACUGAGACACGGUCCAGACUCCUACGGGAGGCAGCAGUGGGGAAUUUUGGACAAUGGGCGCAAGCCUGAUCCAGCAAUGCCGCGUGAGUGAAGAAGGCCCUCGGGUUGUAAAGCUCUUUUGUCAGGGAAGAAUGACGGUACCUGAAGAAUAAGCACCGGCUAACUACGUGCCAGCAGCCGCGGUAAUACGUAGGGUGCAAGCGUUAAUCGGAAUUACUGGGCGUAAAGCGUGCGCAGGCGGUUAUAUAAGUCAGAUGUGAAAUCCCCGGGCUCAACCUGGGAACUGCAUUAGAGAC